rnacentral:misc_RNA from 1 species
UAUGAACAGUCGUAAAAUCUUCUGGAAUACAAUUGAUUUUGAUCUAUUAGGUGUUUUGAGACGUCAAAAGAUAAACGCUUGAAGGAAUGUUCAAACGCGAAAACAGGAUGCUGAAGCAAAGAAAUAAUGCCCAGAGUAUACAAAUGCCUGUUAUUACUAUGUUUUUUGUUUUGAUUUGUGUUCUAGUUUGGGUUUUGUGUAGGGAAACUGGAGAAAAAUCUGAUUCGUUGUCUGGUUUAGUUAAGG